rnacentral:lncRNA from 13 species
UUAGUAUCAGAAAUACUUUUUGUUUUAUAAAGUGCCUAUCUAUUGACUCUUGCCAAUUCUUGUUUAAUAAUUAAAAUGGGCACCCAUUUAUUUACUAACUGGGACAUGCUUGUGUGCAGGUGUUUAUUGAUCUGGCAUGAAGGUGUUUAUUGAUCUGUCAUUGCAAAGAGCAUACUCUUGCUGUCUUCCCUGCACAUCUUUCAAACAGUGGCUGGUAUUUUCACCUAACAGUGAGACUGGUGGGAAAUGUCAGCAAUGGUGACUUUGGGGUAUAGUUUCUCCCAGUAAGGAAGGCAAAUUCUACAAAAAGAAUGAAGCACAGCAGACAAAGUGAAGCGCUGGUUUUUACAAGCCUGAGGAAGGCGAGGAAGUCUGUCUGCAAUGUCUGCUGCAUCCAUCUUAGUAGUAGCCACUCCUGGAAAUGAUAUCACUGCUCGAGCCCCCUUGCCCCUGCUUACAGGACAAGGACACCUUGCCGCAACAGGUACCAGUUAACUCAAUGAUUUUUUUACUGCUGGGAAAGUGGAGCAAAAGUUCUGGGCAUUUGGCCAUAUAUGGAGGCUGUUUUGGUUGUCACAACUACAUGGAGGGUACUACUGCAUCCAGUUGGUAGAAGUCAGGAAUGCUAAUAAACAAUGCACAUAACAGCUAUGCA